CUUAGUGAGUUGCUUCCUCCCUUCUCAUACUGCUGAGUCUACAUUUAAGCAUUCAUUCUUCACAGGAGGACCGACACGACAGAUUGACCUAUCCGGUGAUGCGAAUUGACAAAGAGGACUCAAAGGCCAUAACUGCGGUGUUGGAGAACCACUUAUUUGAGGUGACGGACGGAUUGGGCACUUCAUUGAUUUGAAGUACGAUAUAAAGUCUGCCUUGGCUUUGGAUCUCAUCACAAAUGCAUUCUGUCAGUUCCUCAAGGCUCUUCUCACAUCAUGUGGUGACAUUUGCGUCCAGUGUUAUAUAGCCCUGUCACAUGGAAGAGGUGGAGGAGACCAGCUUACUAAAGAGUAUAUCAGCAUCACUGGAAACACUGCCUCUAUUGCUGUCAUCAACAGCCAGCUGGCUGAAAUCAAGCCACCACACAGCUCCACGAGACUCCCAAGGGCACUGAGCACACGCCUAUUCUGGAAGGCUUCUGAAUGGCGCCACUGGCUGCUGUACCACUCGCUUCCCUGCAUGUACAGGGUCCUUCUGGACCAAUACUGGCCGUACAUAAAGAAGCUGGUGGAGGCCGUCCAUGCACUUUUGAGGGACACCGUAACUCCAGCAUCCA